GACCAAGGUCAGAAGAAGAUGGAGAAGACAGAGAUUCUUGAGAAGGAACGCACUUGCCAAUGAGGAAGUGAGAGGCUUAUUGCAGCUGUCCAAAGGUCUGAACAAGUCCUCGACAAAUAAGACGACUGGACAGUGGCUCCCAACUGCUGUUUACCGGGUGAUUGGAUGCGUCGCCGAUCAAAGACAUCAGAUUCAUGUUAAACAUCGUCUGCGCCCAUGCCAAGAUUGUCUCGCUUGUUGAAGUUUGUCUUGUAGUUUAUUUGCAGGGUUGACAUUUAAUAUCAAAUGUAAUCUUUGCCUUGGAUAGUAAUAUUCUGCAUAAAAUGUCACACAUUGUGUAUAAAAAUAAUUGUACGCAAAGAAAUGAAUGGCGUCGACCCUGCAUGUCGCUGGUUAUAUAUGAUACAUUCUUUCUAAAUCGUAGUACACCACUCUAUCCGCUCAUAUCGUUUCAAGGUAUUUUAUAUAUUAUGUAUAUUUAUUAUUGUGUCGGAAGGAAGUACCCAUCAAUUGUCAAACAAAAAUACGGCACUUUUUGGAGUUCACCUUUAACAAAAUAGUUUUAAUGCAAAAAGUAUUUUGCUGAAAUGAUAGAUGAAAACAAAAAUGAUAGUUAUCAAAUAUUAUUAUUAUUAUUAAAUUAUUAUUCGAUUUUUAGAUAGAGUACUGCGCGAGCACUAUUGAUUUUCUAGUUGAAGGUAAAAAUUGUCUGUGGGCAGAUAUUUUAGAUAUUUAUUUUGAAUUAAAUUGAAUUGAAUUGAAUUCUGAGAUUCCGAUAAGAAAAUAUCUCAACUUUAUUAAUGAAACUUUUGAGAGACCAACGGUUUCAUACAGUGACCGUUAAGUUUGAUAAAAGAACAAGUUGUUAAUUUAAAAUAAGUUACAAACACUGUUCUUUCAAGUUAUAAAGCUUUGGAAAUUAUAGCGUUAUGAAAAUGAUAAAAUUUGUCCACGUGAUUCCAGAAUUGCCCAUGUAUAAGAAACGAUCCUUUUUUAAAUUGUGGAUGUACGUUUGUGACGCAUGUUAAGAAUGAACUUACUUUGGUUUCUGUGUUUUGAUAUCGUGUCUGAUCAGUGACAGAUACACAUUUACUGUGCGGGGAGGGGUCUAAAACAAUGUUAAGAAAAUGAAACCAGGAGAGAAAUAGGGAUUUUCACGAAAUUACUGCGCAUUCGUUAUUGCAGUAAGGGAAUACAUGUUACCCUCGUGAUAAAAACUGCCCGUUCUGAGGGCCACCCAAAUUUAUCAGCAUUGCAUAAGCUCCUUUGUGUGUUGUUCGACUUUUUGCCGAUAUCGCAAAGCAGGAAUGUAAGUGCUCUCCUGAAAAAACUUUGUUCAUAUGCAUAAAAAUUAUCUAUUAUUAAUUAAUAUGUCUUUGGUUGUGAUUGAGGGGUGAUUGAGAGAAAAAGGUCCGAUUAGAUGCCAGUCUCGCGCGUCCUGUUGGGGUAUUUUUGCUAAGUGUUUCUUGGUCACUGAGCACCGGAGACCAAAGUAAAAGUCACCGUUUUUCUUUCUGCGUAAUCUUUUCAGUUUUGUUUGUAUAUUUUUUCUUAAAUUGUCAUGACUAGAAUAAGCUUGGAAAUUGACCAUGUCUUUAUGCCGUUCCUGAUUCGCAUGAGUGCAAAUUUAAGUUUUCGCUCAAAUUCGUGCCAUUAACAAAUAUUAAGGAUGUAAUGAAAUGAAAACAAAAUAACGGAAAACACUCGAUUCUUAAAAAUGACUAUUUUUGUCUACCUUUUUCUGUGCGAGAAUCAGCAUGACGGCAUAGAACAAGGUGUGCGUGAGUGCGAGUGCACGUGAGGGGAAGACGCCUAUGUGAGAUUAUAUGCAUUUAGGAAUUUCGAUAUCAUUCACAGCACUGAAAUUUGACACUUUGCUCCUCAAUGGAAUUAGUAAUCAAUUAUUAACGUCAACUUUGAACAAAAUUUGACAAGUACGAUAUGAUUUCAUUUUAUAUACCACUCCUGGUCAUUUUUUUGUAUGAAUUUUGUUUUAGUAAGAAUUAUGUCGAAAUUCUCUUUUAUAUAAAUAAAUAGAAUUUGUUUGAGCUGCAAUUUCCAAAGUGCAUAAAAUCCUUCAUAUGUGUUAGUUAGUCUACUAUCAGGUAGACUUCUUGUAUUGUUUUUGUAAAAGCAUAAUUUAAAGAAUUUUUUAGAAAUUUGACACUAUUGUAAUGGUUGCUAUCAACGUAGAAAAAACGUAACUUCAUGUAUUCAUGUAUAAAACUUCGUUGAAAUUACUUGGAAUUUGUUGAAACAAUAAAUAAUAAAAA